rnacentral:rRNA from 1 species
CCUACGGGUGGCUGCAGUGGGGAAUAUUGCACAAUGGGCGCAAGCCUGAUGCAGCCAUGCCGCGUGUGUGAAGAAGGCCUUCGGGUUGUAAAGCACUUUCAGCGGGGAGGAAGGCGGUGAGGUUAAUAACCUCAUCGAUUGACGUUACCCGCAGAAGAAGCACCGGCUAACUCCGUGCCAGCAGCCGCGGUAAUACGGAGGGUGCAAGCGUUAAUCGGAAUUACUGGGCGUAAAGCGCACGCAGGCGGUCUGUCAAGUCGGAUGUGAAAUCCCCGGGCUCAACCUGGGAACUGCAUUCGAAACUGGCAGGCUAGAGUCUUGUAGAGGGGGGUAGAAUUCCAGGUGUAGCGGUGAAAUGCGUAGAGAUCUGGAGGAAUACCGGUGGCGAAGGCGGCCCCCUGGACAAAGACUGACGCUCAGGUGCGAAAGCGUGGGGAGCAAACAGGGUUAGAUACCCUUGUAGUC